GACAAACGCUGGCGGCGUGCUUAACACAUGCAAGUCGAACGGAAAGGCCCUGCUUUUGUGGGGUGCUCGAGUGGCGAACGGGUGAGUAACACGUGAGUAACCUGCCCUUGACUUUGGGAUAACUUCAGGAAACUGGGGCUAAUACCGGAUAGGAGCUCCUGCUGCAUGGUGGGGGUUGGAAAGUUUCGGCGGUUGGGGAUGGACUCGCGGCUUAUCAGCUUGUUGGUGGGGUAGUGGCUUACCAAGGCUUUGACGGGUAGCCGGCCUGAGAGGGUGACCGGCCACAUUGGGACUGAGAUACGGCCCAGACUCCUACGGGAGGCAGCAGUGGGGAAUAUUGCACAAUGGGCGGAAGCCUGAUGCAGCAACGCCGCGUGCGGGAUGACGGCCUUCGGGUUGUAAACCGCUUUCGCCUGUGACGAAGCGUGAGUGACGGUAAUGGGUAAAGAAGCACCGGCUAACUACGUGCCAGCAGCCGCGGUGAUACGUAGGGUGCGAGCGUUGUCCGGAUUUAUUGGGCGUAAAGGGCUCGUAGGUGGUUGAUCGCGUCGGAAGUGUAAUCUUGGGGCUUAACCCUGAGCGUGCUUUCGAUACGGGUUGACUUGAGGAAGGUAGGGGAGAAUGGAAUUCCUGGUGGAGCGGUGGAAUGCGCAGAUAUCAGGAGGAACACCAGUGGCGAAGGCGGUUCUCUGGGCCUUUCCUGACGCUGAGGAGCGAAAGCGUGGGGAGCGAACAGGCUUAGAUACCCUGGUAGUCCACGCUGUAAACGGUGGGUACUAGGUGUGGGGUCCAUUCCACGGGUUCCGUGCCGUAGCUAACGCUUUAAGUACCCCGCCUGGGGAGUACGGCCGAAAGGCUAAAACUCAAAGGAAUUGACGGGGCCCCGCACAAGCGGCGGAGCAUGCGGAUUAAUUCGAUGCAACGCGUAGAACCUUACCUGGGUUUGACAUGGAUCGGGAGUGCUCAGAGAUGGGUGUGCCUCUUUUGGGGUCGGUUCACAGGUGGUGCAUGGCUGUCGUCAGCUCGUGUCGUGAGAUGUUGGGUUAAGUCCCGCAACGAGCGCAACCCUUGUUCACUGUUGCCAGCACGUUAUGGUGGGGACUCAGUGGAGACCGCCGGGGUCAACUCGGAGGAAGGUGGGGAUGACGUCAAGUCAUCAUGCCCCUUAUGUCCAGGGCUUCACGCAUGCUACAAUGGCUGGUACAGAGAGUGGCGAGCCUGUGAGGGUGAGCGAAUCUCGGAAAGCCGGUCUCAGUUCGGAUUGGGGUCUGCAACUCGACCUCAUGAAGUCGGAGUCGCUAGUAAUCGCAGAUCAGCAACGCUGCGGUGAAUACGUUCCCGGGGCU
rnacentral:rRNA from 1 species